rnacentral:tRNA from 1 species
ACUUCCGUGGUGGAAUGGGUACCACACUAGGCUUACAUACCGGAUGUCCCGGGUUCGAUCCUGGCAGAAUUG